AUCUCUCUUUUGGUUAAGUGGAGGGGAACAGAGUGUUUGACAGGUUCCUGCGGUGUACUCGCUCGACUCAGCUGUUUAGGAAUUUCCCCUGCAUGCUUGACUUCCUCUCAGUGUGCUGAUUCUGAUUGGUGGAGAGAAAGGAGACAGGAAGUGUUCAAUAACAGGUGCUUGCAGAUAAAGCAUGCUGAGAACAAGUCUGUGUGUGUGUUUUUAAGGGUGACACAUCAGGAGACUAUCGUAAAACCCUUUUGAUUAUCUGUGGAGGUGAGGAUUAGAACACUGUCCAUUGUCCUGGAUCUGUUACAUGAUCUUCAUGUCUAGUAACUAGUGCACUGUGUACCCAUUUGUUGUUUGUGAGAUGCUAGUCAACAUACAGUCUUUGUGCCCUCUGCUGCUGCUGCUGCCAUGCCUAUGCCAAAGCUAAUGUGUAAUGACCUAUGCAGAAGCCACACCUUGUCCUACUUUUGAAGUCGUGCACUAAACACGUUUUUUUUUUU